UUCCAAUCAACUCUUCAACUUCUCUCCAAUCUUAUUCCAAGAAUACCAUCGGUUUCUAUAAGUUCAAUGAAUUUAUUAAGUGGAUCUACAUAUAUAUAUGGGUUGACGUUCUUCUAUCCAUACCAUCUAUAUCUACAAUUCAUUGAAUCCAUUCCUCAAGUUCACAUAUCGCUUUACAAUCUGUAUUUCAUAUGGCUGAAAGUUCAUCAAGUUUCAGGGGACCCUGCUUCUGUAGGCACAUGAAUAAAGCAGACGAGUUUAUUAUGUGCAUUCCAGAUGCCGCUGUGUGUAAACUAUGGGGUGUAUAUAAAUGUCCUACGAAUGUUGAUAUACACACAGAAGAUGGCCGAGUAUUUAAUGUUGGAUUAAGCGCU